GCUGGUGUGGUGUAAUGGUUUGAGCACUGAUGACUCUGGAGGCCAGGGUUCAAAUCCCUGCAUGGACA